GGCAUGACGGGCCCAGGGAUGGUGGUGUUAACACAAUAAGGUCAGGAAUUUAUGUUUGUGCUCCUGACCCUAUAGUGAUCCUUUAAAGUAAUGCUGACUUUGGUCUCUCGAACACUGUGGCAUGUUCCCUUUCUUCUACACUCACUACAUACAGCUUUUCUCUGUUCCAGACUAUAUACCAGGAGCUUCUGCCUGCUAGUAAGAAGGUAAGGAGACAAGUGGACCAGCGAGUGCUAGGGGACAGUCCUUCGAAAGCAUUGAGCGACCGCAUCAUUAGAUGCAUUUAUGCCAAGCUCAGGGUGCUCUCUGCAUAGUAUGCCC